AAGCCAGACUCCUACGGGAGGCAGCAGUGGGGAAUAUUGCACAAUGGGGGAAACCCUGAUGCAGCGACGCCGCGUGAGUGAAGAAGUAUUUCGGUAUGUAAAGCUCUAUCAGCAGGGAAGAUAAUGACGGUACCUGACUAAGAAGCCCCGGCUAACUACGUGCCAGCAGCCGCGGUAAUACGUAGGGGGCAAGCGUUAUCCGGAUUUACUGGGUGUAAAGGGAGCGUAGGUGGCAGGGCAAGUCAGAUGUGAAAACCCGGGGCUCAACCCCGGGAGUGCAUUUGAAACUGUCCAGCUGGAGUGCAGGAGAGGUAAGCGGAAUUCCUAGUGUAGCGGUGAAAUGCAUAGAUAUUAGGAGGAACACCAGUGGCGAAGGCGGCUUACUGGACUGUAACUGACACUGAGGCUCGAAAGCGUGGGGAGCAAACAGGAUUAGAUACCCCAGUAC
rnacentral:rRNA from 1 species